CUACGGGCCGCACCAGUCGAGAAUCUUCCGCAAUGCGCGAAAGCGUGACGGAGCAAUGCCGCGUGGUGGAUGAAGGCCUUCGGGUUGUAAACACCUGUCACAUGGGACGAACUUUGACGGUACCAUGAGAGGAAGCCACGGCUAACUACGUGCCAGCAGCCGCGGUAAUACGUAGGUGGCGAGCGUUGUUCGGAUUUAUUGGGCGUAAAGGGUCCGCAGGGGGUUUGUUAAGUCUGAUGUGAAAUCCCGGGGCUCAACCCCGGAACUGCAUUGGAGACUGAUGAACUAGAGUAUCGGAGAGGUAAAUGGAAUUCCUGGUGUAGCGGUGUAAUGCGUAGAUAUCAGGAAGAACACCGAGAGCGAAGGCAAUUUACUGGACGAUUACUGACCCUCAGGGACGAAAGCGUGGGUAGCGAACAGGAUUAGAUACCCCAGUAGUC
rnacentral:rRNA from 1 species